AUGGUAGGUAUUGUGGGUAUCGACUUAUCUGGCAACUCUCUUUCACAAGAGAUUCCAAAUGGGCUCACAACCCUUCUUGGACUGAGGUAUCUGAACUUAUCAGGAAAUCAUUUGUUAGGCUGCAUUCCCGAAGACAUUGGCAAUCUAGUACUGCUGGAAUCCUUGGACCUUUCUCUGAACCGACUCUCGGGAGAAAUUCCUCCAAGCUUUGCAGGUUUGAAGAGCAUAACCGCUCUGAACCUCUCGAGUAAUAAUUUAUCGGGGUUGAUACCUAUGAGCGACCAGCUGCGAACGCUCCCAGAUCCAUCCAUAUACAGCAACAAUCCAGGGUUAUAUGGUUUCCCCUUGGAGGGCUGUGUAGACUCGUCGACAUCGACGCAAAGCGGAAUGAGCCAGGCUGAAGACAGCAGGGAGGCAUUGUGGCUGUAUUGCUUUGUGGCUGCUGGGUUCAUCUUUGGGUUCUGGCUGUACUGCGGCAUGUUCUGGUUUUACAGCGAGACCUGGAGGUGUGCAUUCUAUCAGUAUGUCGACAACAUGCAAGGGAAGGUAACCAAGAAGAUGUAUAGCUGCAUGUCAUACUUCCAGGCCAAGGUCCAUGAAUGA
rnacentral:rRNA from 1 species